CCUGGGCAGCGUGAGCUGACGGCCAGUGCAACAGAGAGCAGACCGCCGAUGGCCCCGCAAGGGGAUCAGGUAAGGGUGAAAGGGUGCGGUAAGAGCGCACCGCGUGCGGGGACAACGUCGCAUGGCACGGUAAACCCCACCCGGAGCAAGACCAAAUAAGGGGACUAUGACGUUGCCCGCGUCGUCCCCGGGUAGGUUGCUGGAGCCUGGCGGUGACGCCAGGCCGAGAAGAAUGACUGUCACGUCGCAAGACGCACAGAACCCGGCUUAUAGGCCGACUCCUUCU
rnacentral:RNase_P_RNA from 1 species